rnacentral:snRNA from 1 species
AUACAUCUACUCUAUACCCAGAAAAAUUCUUUUAAAAAAAGAUCAGCAUGGUCCCUGUUAAACAAGGAUGACAGGCAAAUUCAUGAAGUGUUUCACAUUUUU